ensembl:lncRNA
GUGCCUGAGUGCUGAGCAGCCCCAGGCCCCGGGCCCCGGGCCCAGAGGUGAGCUGGCCAGGGCCCCCCCCAGCAGACCCUUGCCUGCCUCCUGGACCACAGGAGGCCGAUGCUCGCUGGGGGGAGACCAAGGGCCAUAGGUGGCUGCGGGAAUCACCACCCCUGGCUAGUUGCAAGGGACAGCAGAGGUGGAAAUGGGACCUGGAAAGAGGGUGGGAUUUGCCAGUCUCGAGGGGAGGAUGGAUGACCCAGGCACAGAGAAGUCAGGGACUGGUGCCGGAGCCCUGGGCCCAGGAGUGAAGAGUCUGUUUACAAGCCCACGAUUGUCCAAGGGCCGCUUCGGACACCGCACACUUCCUACCCACGUGUGUUCUGGAAGGGUUCGGAGGAAACAUCUGGCCCCCGAACAUGACGUCACUAACGUAAUAGUCCAGAUUUGACAUAAUCUAUUUAGCAGACACUCGCUCCACCUAGCAAGCCCGUCAUAGCACACUAACUCCGCACCUCCAGGACAACUGAGUCACCCUCCACGCUCUGACGGGGUCACCGCUCCCAGCCGGGGACUCCACCCUCCCACCAGACGUUCUGAACAACAACAAAAUCGCGUAACUGCGAAGCCGGGUUGUAAGAACUGUUAGCGGAACAGCUGUGCGCAGAAGCCGCAGGUGGAGGCCACCGCCACGUGGGUUACGCCCUCCUGGGAAACAAAGGUCCAAAUUGCCCACCGACAGCCCUGGGCAGACUAAUAAAUGGCAGAGCCAGGCCUCCAGCCCACGUCUGACUCAGAGACGCAAAGCCACAGCCGCCAUCAACAGCAUUAAACCCACCCAUCAAGGAAGGCGCAAAUGCACACUCAAAUCAGAUCGCUAAGGUGCAGCAAUUUCAGGCUUAAAGGGAACGCACGAUAUGGCAUGUAAACUUGACCCUCGUUCACGCACAGCUACACCAAAGACCUCUGCCUACUUUCUAGGUCCUCAGCGCAAUACUGUGCAAACAAAAUCCUGUUACUUAUAUCAGAACGAAAAAGAGGCGUGCAGUUUGACAGAUAAAUUCAAGACAGCGUAGGAAGCAUCAGUAAACAGGUGUCAAAGGUGAACAUCAGUAAAAGGCUCUUACUACGAGCAACACCCCGUCUCAGGGGUUAUUCAGGUACAUCAGUCAUCUGACGAACCAACCUGGUUUCCCCAUGUUUUUCGUAAGUCACCAGUAACCAGGGUGGCUUCAAGUAAACACACCACAUCAAGAGCUCGUCCCCGCUGACGGCUGCCAGCAGCUUACCUCUGCGUCUGCGGCCACCCAGGUGCUGACGUCACGUAAGCCACGCGGUGGGAACUGUCUGGGCUCAUCUGGCAGACAGACUCACCUACAAAACCGAGGAGACAGAGACCGUCUCUCUCUACAGCACCUAGACAAAGGCCUCUGCAAAGAUAAAUACCGAGGACCCUGCAAGAUGCCCGCUUUCCUCAAAAUCAUAGUCAAAAGGAAUGAAACCAAAAUCGCGGUCAGAUCAAAUGUCUUGCUUUCUCACAACAGCAUGAUUCUGUAAGAUAUUCGGGUUUUGGUUUUGGUUUUGAUUUGGUGCAAAAUUUAAA